CACUUCUAAGGAAGGCAGCAGGCGCGCAAAUUACCCAAUCCUGACUCAGGGAGGUAGUGACAAGAAAUAACAAUAAACCGGCUUAUGCCGGUUUAAUUGGAAUGAGUACAAUUUAAACAUCUUAACGAGGAACAAUUGGAGGGCAAGUCUGGUGCCAGCAGCCGCGGUAAUUCCAGCUCCAAUAGCGUAUACUAAAGUUGUUGCAGUUAAAAAGCUCGUAGUUGGAUUUCUGUGGGGACGGAGCGGCCGGCCGCAACACGCGGUUCGAGCUAGCGCUUUCCCUACAUCCUGCCGCGAACCGUGCUACCAUUAGUUUGGUGGCGCCGGGGAUCGGCUCGAUUACUUUGAGAAAAAUAGAGUGUUCAAAGCAGGCCACACGCCUUGAAUAAGUUAGCAUGGAAUAAUAACUAAGGACUUCGGUUCUAUUUUGUUGGUGUUCGGGACUGAAGUAAUGAUUGAUAGGGACAGUUGGGGCGGUCUGUAUUCCAAAGCGAGAGGUGAAAUUCUUAGACCUUCGGAAGACAAACAGCUGCGAAAGCGUUCCGCAAGGAUGUUCCCUUUGAUCAAGAACGAAAGUUGGGGGAUCGAAGACGAUCAGAUACCGUCGUAGUCUCAACUAUAAACUAUACCAGCUAGGGAUCGGCCAACGUUAUUUAAACCGACUUGGUCGGCACCUUAUGAGAAAUCAAAGCAUCUGGGUUCCGGGGGGAGUAUGGUCGCAAGGCUGAAACUUAAAGGAAUUGACGGAAGGGCACCACCAGCCGUGGAGCCUGUGGCUUAAUUUGACUCAACACGGGAAAACUUACCAGGUCCAGACAUAGUAAGGAUUGACAGAUUGAUAGCUCUUUCUUGAUUCUGUGGGUGGUGGUGCAUGGCCGUUCUUAGUUGGUGGAGUGAUUUGUCUGGUUAAUUCCGUUAACGAACGAGACCCCAGCCUGCUAAAUAGCGCGUGUGAGCUUUGCUCGCAGCGAGCUUCUUAGAGGGACUAUGAUGCGCGAUAGCACAUGGAAGUUUGGGGCAAUAACAGGUCUGUGAUGCCCUUAGAUGUUCUGGGCCGCACACGGGCUACACUGGCGCCUGCAACGAGCAUAUCAGCUGGCCCGAGAGGGUCUUGGCUAAUCUUUUGAACCGGCGCCGUGCUUGGGAUUGACCUUUGCAAUUGUUGGUCAUGCAACGAGGAAUGCCUUGUAAACGCGAGUCAUCAGCUCGCAUUGAAUACGUCCCUGCCCUUUGUACACACCGCCCGUCGCUCCUACCGAUGAAUGUUCCGAUGAAAUUUUCGGAGAGUGCCUGUGAACUUGGCUCUGCCUUGCGAACGGGAAGCUCAAAGUCACUUAAAUCUGAACAUUUC
rnacentral:rRNA from 1 species